rnacentral:rRNA from 1 species
GACGAACGCUGGCGGCGUGCUUAACACAUGCAAGUCGAACGGAAAGGCCCUGCUUGCAGGGUGCUCGAGUGGCGAACGGGUGAGUAACACGUGGGUGAUCUGCCCCUUACUUUGGGAUAAGCCUGGGAAACUGGGUCUAAUACUGGAUAGGACCAUGCUGUAGGUGGUGUGGUGGAAAGAUUAGUUUCGGUAAGGGAUGAGCUCGCGGCCUAUCAGCUUGUUGGUGGGGUAAUGGCCUACCAAGGCGUCGACGGGUAGCCGGCCUGAGAGGGUGGACGGCCACAUUGGGACUGAGAUACGGCCCAGACUCCUACGGGAGGCAGCAGUGGGGAAUAUUGCACAAUGGGCGCAAGCCUGAUGCAGCGACGGCGCGUGGGGGAUGACGGCCUUCGGGUUGUAAACUCCUUUCAGCCAUGACGAAGCCCUUGUGGUGACGGUAGUGGUAGAAGAAGCACCGGCUAACUACGUG